rnacentral:lncRNA from 1 species
GGAAGACAGAACUGCCUCUUUUGGAGGUUAUGCCCUUCCAAAAUCAGACUGUUUAUGGCCAUUCAGUUUGAAAAUUACAGAGGUGGUGGGUGGCAGUUAUCUUUUUUAUUGAAGAUAAUUAUUUGGCAAAAUAAGAGUUGCCCUUGGCUAUCUAGCCUUCCAAUUAAAAAAAAAAAAAAAAAAAGAAGCUUGUUUGUGAAAUCCUGAAGUUUAGGAACCAAGUUAAGCUGACUUGAGAGGUUCACUCACACGCACUAGCUCCCUGAGUGUGUGAUUAAAUUUAUGGCUUAGCAAAACAAAACAAAACAACAAAAAACCACUGGUCGUGACGCUCAGAGAUCACUCGCAAUAGUCAGGAGUUAACAGAAAGUGUGUGCACCCAAAUUGUCUACCAUCCUUCUAUAAAAACUGGCUGCUUUUAAAGGUUUGUCUAUUAAAAUGCUAUCAUGUUUUGCUUUGUUUGGUUUCCUUUUAAAGACAGUUGUUUAGGUGAUGUGUGAGGGAUUAAAAAGCCACCCCUGAGAUAAAGCUGACCUGCUUGCAGGAAAGCCACGAUGGAAGGCGGAAGUAUAGAUGAUGGAGGAUUUACGGAGAAUGCGCAGACACAGAUGUGACGUGGAGGGGAGGGCGACUCAGGCCCUUCCUCGCAAAGACUCAUCUAACUGUCGGGGCAACUGUGGGUGCUGCCAUGUCGGAUGAGACGACUGGGGAGUGAGAGGCAGGAAAGCAGCCGAAAGGCCGGGGGGCAGUGUUCUCCAAGGCCUCUCAGAAAAGACAGGAGAGCUUCUCUACACCCCGCUCUCCAGUGGGGAAGCCUGCUUACUUAUAACGGACCCAACAGUAAAUGCAGUCCCCACCACUCUUGGCCAUUGUCAGAAGGGAUAGGUCUGAGGGUCCGGGCAAGAGCAGACCGACGGCCUGGAGAGAGCUUUUGGAAGAUCCAGUUCCUUUUUCAAAUACUUUAUAAAUGUGUCGCACAUUGCAAAGAUGGUGGGAAGCUUCCAGAGGUGCCGAGUCUUGGGCUUGGUCCUCUGAAUAGGCUAGUGGUGAUUUGAAGAUGCAGAAGUACUUGGCAAGUUGGACUCUGCAGCUGAGCCACCACAUCAUCUGGUCCAUAGGGCUCCAUCUGCAGAGAAUGUCAUCCAAUUGGGCAAGAAGUCUUCUGUCCUAGGACUUCUCUGAUUGGAGCUUGAGGUAAGAUCUCUUUUAUCUCUGGUGAAUUGCUAAAUAAAACCUAAGUGGGUAACUAUCCA